rnacentral:antisense_RNA from 1 species
GAGCCAAAUCCCGACAGGACUUGUUACUUUCACUUGCUCUUUUUUCCUCCCAUUUUAGCAGCCAAGGAUGGGAAUUACACAGCGAAAUGCAGGCUAAUCAGCUAAAUCUAGAUUAAAUAUGCUAGUCCUUGGGGACCUUGAGCUGAAUUAAUGGAAACCGAGGUUUUUAAUGUUCCAGACUAAUUUUGGAAGCUCACUUCCAGCAGAGGCAAACUUGAGGCUGUCCAAAGGGAGCAGAUGGCAAGGCUUUCUCCAGGUACAUCAACUGCUGAAACAGCCCUCGGCAAAACCACGAGGAAGGGAGGAGGCUCCAUGGUCUAACCUUCCCAAUUACGAAAGCAAGAAGAUCGAAGCAAAUGAACAAAGGUGGGAUCUGGUUCCAAUAAUGAAGAAUGUGAUGACUACAUGUAUAUCAUUCUGGAACAGAGAAAAGACUGCCUGCAGCAAUAUCUCUAAAAAAUAUCUGUGGCAGACUCAGUGGAUGGUCAAGUUUGGCUCUGAAACAAGUCUCCUCAUUUGUCAGAGAAAGGACAGAGAAGAUCC